GACGAACGCUGGCGGCGUGCCUAAUACAUGCAAGUCGAACGCUUCUUUCCUCCCGAGUGCUUGCACUCAAUUGGAAAGAGGAGUGGCGGACGGGUGAGGAACACGUGGGUAACCUACCCAUCAGAGGGGGAUAACACUUGGAAACAGGUGCUAAUACCGCAUAACAGUUUAUGCCGCAUGGCAUAAGAGUGAAAGGCGCUUUCGGGUGUCGCUGAUGGAUGGACCCGCGGUGCAUUAGCUAGUUGGUGAGGUAACGGCUCACCAAGGCCACGAUGCAUAGCCGACCUGAGAGGGUGAUCGGCCACACUGGGACUGAGACACGGCCCAGACUCCUACGGGAGGCAGCAGUAGGGAAUCUUCGGCAAUGGACGAAAGUCUGACCGAGCAACGCCGCGUGAGUGAAGAAGGUUUUCGGAUCGUAAAACUCUGUUGUUAGAGAAGAACAGGGACGUUAGUAACUGAACGUCCCCUGACGGUAUCUAACCAGGAAGCCACGGCUAACUACGUG
rnacentral:rRNA from 1 species